CAUACAUGAGAUGUUAGUGAAGUUUUUCCUACUGUGAGUAUAAACGCUGCCUUCGGCAGCAAUAAAUAAUGAACUUACCUCAACGAUGUCAUCCAAUUGAAAACGUCACGCUCCAAAAAACAACAAUCUGACGAUUCGACUAGAGUUCUCUGAUUUUAUAGUGAUUUGGGUACAUUUUCCAGCCAUUGCGUGAACCAUACUUGCUGUAAUUGUAUGUAGACUUGCAUCCAUUACAGCGAAGGGACCAUUUUUCUCCGUUAACAAAACCUUUCAGAGUGUAAAUCCGAGCUUCUGUUGGGGCAUGGUUUACAACUAUAAACUGCUGUUGACAUUCGAAGCAGAUUGAAGUUUACGGUGUUAAGAUGACAUUUAAUACUUCGUUUUUACUGGUAUUAAUACUGCCGUUAAAACUCUCUGCUUUUUCAAACAAAUGAAUUACAUUCUUGACACCUGGUUCACAUAUCCCGAGAAUGCGAGCGACCUUCGAAAUAACUACGCUUUCAGGCAAAAACCUCGCAGACGAUAGCAUAGAGACCACCUCCUGUACGAUUUUCGAAGUGACUAUAUGACCGGCAGCCGGUCACGGUUUAUCAAAUACUAAAUGGCCGGCAGUCUAGUGACUAUAGUUGAAUAUAAAAACUUUUGUUUGCGUUAACUUUUACCGAGCUUGCCGUUAGCUCAUACGGCAAGGGCGCUGCGUGCGGAAAGUUAAGCGCAGUCGGGGUCGCGAUGUGUUUUGUCUGACUUAGCAUUGUUUUUUCUUAAAAUUUUUUAAACUUUUUUUCCCGACUUUUCUAACUCUCAAAAGGUUAGGGUUAGGGGUUAGGGGUUAGGGUUAGAAAAGGGUUUGGGGUUGGGGAUAGGUUUAUCUUAUAAAAAUUAAACUUUAACAAUAGUCACUAGACUGCCGGCCAUUUAGUAUUUUAUAAACCGUGACCGGCUGCCGGUCAUAUAGUCACUUCGUACUAUUUUAUAUAAAAGCCCAAACCGGCAAAUCAAAAAGACUUCAACCAACUGACUGUCAGCUGUCAUUCCCACAUUUAUGGACGAGAUUUCAGCAAUUUUGUUUUUUAAACAAUUUGCUUCAUAAAGCGAAUCGCUGACAUGUGAACAAAGCGCAUUUGGAUCAAUUUUUAACUUUUUUUAUCGCGUUGCAUCGACGCCAUAUUGCAUGUGAU